rnacentral:rRNA from 1 species
UACGUAGAAGACUAGUGUUAUUCAUCUUUAGUAGGUUUAAAGGGUACCUAGACGGUAUAAUUAGUCUUAAAUAAGAAACGAUUAUGCUAGAGUUAUAUAUGAGAAGGGGAGUAUUUAUGGAGUAGAGUUGAAAUUCUUUGAUACCAUAACGACUGGUAACGGCGAAAGCAACCUUUUAUCUAAUAACUGACGUUGAGGGACGAA